GCUUAGCCAUUAACCAAAGACCUAAAAACUACCACAUAGGCCCGCCAGAGAAUUACGAGCAAAAGCUUAAAACUCCAAGGACUUGACGGUCCCCCACACCAACCUAGAGGAGCCUGUCCUAUAAUCGACACUCCACGUUUAACCUCACCCCCCCUAGCCAAUCAGCCUAUAUACCGCCGUCGUCAGCCAACCCUAUGAAGGAAACAGAAGUAGGCAAAAACGUCUUUUCACAAAAACGUCAGGUCAACGUGUAGCUAAUGGGGCGGACAGAGAUGGGCUACAUUCCCUAAAAAGGGUCCAACAGCAUACAUGAAACAAUGCUAACAAGUUGGAUUUAGAAGUAAAUCAAGGCAAGAAUCCAAGCCCUAUUGAAGCUUGCUCCGGGGGGCGU
rnacentral:rRNA from 1 species